rnacentral:SRP_RNA from 1 species
GCACCUCGGGCCGGGGGCUGCUUGGCAAGUGGGGGGCCAAUCAUGCGGCCGACCCCAUGGUAAUCCGUCUGAAGCCCGGAAAGGAGCGGCGCAAGGACGGCAGCCGCCUCUGCCAGAUGGUCGCGAUCAAGCGUAGCGACGGUGGC